CCUACGGGUGGCAGCAGUCGAGAAUCAUUCACAAUGGGGGAAACCCUGAUGGUGCGACGCCGCGUGGGGGAAUGAAGGUCUUCGGAUUGUAAACCCCUGUCAUGUGGGCGCAAAUUAAAAAGAUAGUACCACAAGAGGAAGAGACGGCUAACUCUGUGCCAGCAGCCGCGGUAAUACAGAGGUCCCAAGCGUUGUUCGGAAUCACUGGGCGUAAAGGGUGCGUAGGCGGUUUCGUAAGUCGUGUGUGAAAGUCGCGGGCUCAACCCGCGGACGGCACAUGAUACUGCGAGACUAGAGUAAUGGAGGGGGAACCGGAAUUCUCGGUGUAGCAGUGAAAUGCGUAGAUAUCGAGAGGAACACUCGUGGCGAAGGCGGGUUCCUGGACAUUAACUGACGCUGAGGCACGAAGGCCAGGGGAGCGAAAGGGAUUAGAUACCCCAGUAGUC
rnacentral:rRNA from 1 species